CUCUCUUGUCAGUUAAUAUCAGUUAUCAGUGAUACUUCAUGCUACGAACAUCUGUAGUUCUGUACUUCAUGCUACGAAGUUGUCUAGUCGAGAACGUAGCCUACUCUUGUAGCCUUAUAACAGCCUUUAAUCUAUCCUUGGCAAUUUCAUCUGAUCACGUGGUCUGACUGAAACUGCUCUACAUUUCCCCAAAAUGUCGUCUGUAGCUCGUUGCCAGCUCGUUGCUGCCUGGUUGCUGCACGUACCGGCUGUACUUUCAUCACAUGAAGCAAUACUUCAGAACAGUAAACCUGGUGAAGUCUGCUUCUUUAUUGCAGUCCAAUGUGCGCAUGGACUUGUUGCAGCCAGCUGGUGAAAGGUGUUUCUCAUGCAGGCUUGCUUGCUCUGUACCAUUUGAAGCUUUCAUCAUGAUUACAGCCUCUUUAAGGUCUGAGCCUCUUCGUGGCACUCCAAUGUGCACACGGAUAUGGUGCAGCCAGCUGGUGAAAGGUAUGGUGGCGGAGUGUCUGUUCGUGAGUGAGUGACUAUAUUCUGCCAAUGACAGUGAACGGGAAUGUGUUGCUGACGGUGUUUUUCGUUUUCACAUUUAAGAACGAUUGAGGUAUUCGGACGCCAUUCAACCAAACUGAAUCGAAAGUGACCAACUCUAAAGCAAGUCAUGCCUUCUCCAUGUGGUCGCUGAUGUGUCAUGAAUAUGCGUCUUCGAGACGGUCUUUACUAUAGUGCAAGACAAUAUUGUGAUGAAAACGGGAAAUCUGAAAUGGAUUUCAUGGCCAGUUUGAUUUUGGAGCUGUUUAUGGUGUUGUUGUGUGGUGUGUAGUGGUUUCACAGUCAGUUUCCAGUUGACAGAUGCACUUGAAUGGAGCUUGUGCAGACUUGCAGUUCAACAUUAAACCCCAAUUUCUCAUUUUCCUUUUCUUGUUGUGUUCAUGUGGUGUUGAAAAGUUGGUGAAAAUAGUCCAUUUUACCUGAGAGCUUGUCUUGCAUAUUAUGUCAGCUGCAAUUUUGUCGACAUGUUAUCUUCUGCCACCUGUACCGGCGUUGAGUUAAUACAAUCGCUCGCCGCCGUUCCAUAGCUGAAACAGAAGAGAUGCUGAAAUUCAAGACUGAUGAAUAAUGUAGAUGAUUAUAAGUGCAUAUCUGUGCUCCUUCCUUCCCCUUUUUCUUAAGUAAACAGAACCAACCCCAACCCCUGUAAGCUUGUAAAAUCAAAGUAUAGAGAAAUUAAUGUUAAAGGUACAAUUAAUCAUAGAAGAGUAGUUUCCCUCAUGUAGCCCUCCAAAAUUUCCACAGAUGGUCUUAUCGCAUUAUCACAGCGGGUGAUUAACCAGCUGUAACUGAAUAGUUCUUGUCCUUCUUCUUGAAAGAACAUGACUUCUCUUAAAAUCUGUUAUGCAAAUUUAAAAACCUGUUUAGAAUCAGCAAAUAUUAAAAAAAAAUACAAGUUACUUUGUU
rnacentral:lncRNA from 1 species